rnacentral:rRNA from 1 species
GCGGGACACGUGGUAUCCUGUCUGAAUAUGGGGGGACCAUCCUCCAAGGCUAAAUACUCCUGACUGACCGAUAGUGAACCAGUACCGUGAGGGAAAGGCGAAAAGAACCCCGGCGAGGGGAGUGAAAAAGAACCUGAAACCGUGUACGUACAAGCAGUGGGAGCCUCUUAAUGGGGUGACUGCGUACCUUUUGUAUAAUGGGUCAGCGACUUAUAUUCUGUAGCAAGGUUAACCGAAUAGGGGAGCCGAAGGGAAACCGAGUCUUAACUGGGCGUUAAGUUGCAGGGUAUAGACCCGAAACCCGGUGAUCUAGCCAUGGGCAGGUUGAAGGUUGGGUAACACUAACUGGAGGACCGAACCGACUAAUGUUGAAAAAUUAGCGGAUGACUUGUGGCUGGGGGUGAAAGGCCAAUCAAACCGGGAGAUAGCUGGUUCUCCCCGAAAGCUAUUUAGGUAGCGCCUCGUGAAUUCAUCUCCGGGGGUAGAGCACUGUUUCGGCAAGGGGGUCAUCCCGACUUACCAACCCGAUGCAAACUGCGAAUACCGGAGAAUGUUAUCACGGGAGACACACGGCGGGUGCUAACGUCCGUCGUGAAGAGGGAAACAACCCAGACCGCCAGCUAAGGUCCCAAAGUCAUGGUUAAGUGGGAAACGAUGUGGGAAGGCCCAGACAGCCAGGAUGUUGGCUUAGAAGCAGCCAUCAUUUAAAGAAAGCGUAAUAGCUCACUGGUCGAGUCGGCCUGCGCGGAAGAUGUAACGGGGCUAAACCAUGCACCGAAGCUGCGGCAGCGACACUAUGUGUUGUUGGGUAGGGGAGCGUUCUGUAAGCCUGUGAAGGUGGCCUGUGAGGGUUGCUGGAGGUAUCAGAAGUGCGAAUGCUGACAUAAGUAACGAUAAAGCGGGUGAAAAGCCCGCUCGCCGGAAGACCAAGGGUUCCUGUCCAACGUUAAUCGGGGCAGGGUGAGUCGACCCCUAAGGCGAGGCCGAAAGGCGUAGUCGAUGGGAAACAGGUUAAUAUUCCUGUACUUGGUGUUACUGCGAAGGGGGGACGGAGAAGGCUAUGUUGGCCGGGCGACGGUUGUCCCGGUUUAAGCGUGUAGGCUGGUUUUCCAGGCAAAUCCGGAAAACCAAGGCUGAGGCGUGAUGACGAGGCACUACGGUGCUGAAGCGACAAAUGCCCUGCUUCCAGGAAAAGCCUCUAAGCAUCAGGUAACAUCAAAUCGUACCCCAAACCGACACAGGUGGUCAGGUAGAGAAUACCAAGGCGCUUGAGAGAACUCGGGUG